rnacentral:rRNA from 1 species
CCUACGGGGGGCUGCAGUGGGGAAUAUUGGACAAUGGGGGGAACCCUGAUCCAGCCAUGCCGCGUGUGUGAAGAAGGCCCUCGGGUUGUAAAGCACUUUCAGUGAGGAAGAACGCCUGGUGGUUAAUACCCAUCAGGAAAGACAUCACUCACAGAAGAAGCACCGGCUAACUCCGUGCCAGCAGCCGCGGUAAUACGGAGGGUGCGAGCGUUAAUCGGAAUUACUGGGCGUAAAGCGCGCGUAGGAGGCUUGAUAAGCCGGUUGUGAAAGCCCCGGGCUCAACCUGGGAACGGCAUCCGGAACUGUCACGCUAGAGUGCAGGAGAGGAAGGUAGAAUUCCCGGUGUAGCGGUGAAAUGCGUAGAGAUCGGGAGGAAUACCAGUGGCGAAGGCGGCCUUCUGGACUGACACUGACACUGAGGUGCGAAAGCGUGGGUAGCAAACAGGAUUAGAUACCCCGGUAGUC